CGGGUGCUGGAGCUGACGCAGCAUCCCCGGCAUGGAGAGGUACGGGGAGGAGUCAGCCAUGAGGACCACGCAAUCCGGCAGCUGUUGCUAAGAGCCACUGACGUGUGGAAGAGAGACAACGGCAGGCUCAGCCCCUGGACAGACUGGCCUCCGACAUUCCCGGAUGGCUCUGGAAGCUUCCAGUUAAAUUAAGUGGAGAUGCCAGAAAUGCCAUGGCAAUCUGCGGAGGAUGGAUCAGAAGCUCAGAGAAGCAGGCACACCGGGACGGUUCCACUGCACACGACCGGAAACCCACAGUCUGCUCCCCAAGGGCAUAAGGACCGCCCUGGUGUGGGCACGAUGUCGUGGAGGAGAUGGCGGUGGCCGUCCUCGGUAGCCGGGCGGAUGAGCAUGCGCCUGCCUUCUGCACCCUGCCCCUAGUCCUCUGACCCUUGGAGACCCCGUCUCGAUGGCCCCUGUUUGAGUCCGCUCUGCCCCUCUGUGCCCCACCUCUCUCUGUCACCAUGUGUUCAGGAGUCUGCCUCUGCCGUCCGCCUUCCCUAUCCCGUUAUCCUCAGCGUCGACGCUGUGUGGAUGCUGCAGGCAUCACGGAGCAUCUGUGGCCCUUCUGCUGGUCUUCAGACUGUGCUCGUCCUGACUCCUCCCCACCAAGUCUGCAUGCCCUUGGGCUGACCUCUCCCUCUUGGACGUUGCUGUCCAGGGCAGGACACCGCCCUCAGGACCUCUGACCAGAACAGAGCAAUGGCACCAUCCCGGCACGUCCUGGACACCACCCUCUAGCUUCGGCCACUGUCUGGCCCUAUUGACUCCUGAGCAGCUGGCAACUGAAACCCUUAACAUCUUUUCCCUCACUGAAAUUGGGGUUGAUUCAGUGCCCUGCUACAAUUUGGCUGGGGACCCCAGGUUUAGUGCACAUGUUGGGGUGCACGUGUGGGUGUGAUGGGCAUCUAUCUGGCUGCUGUGUUGGGGUGUCCCCCGCUGUGGGAAGCAUUCCCCCACUCUAGUUACCAUUGUAUUGUGACAAGGUCUGGCAAUGGAAGGAGAAUCGUGCAAGGCACUUCUCCAGGGAACAUACUUCUUUAAGCAGAGUCCUUUGUCCUCCUUUCUAAAGCCUAUUACUGAUUAACGUCUUCCCUCUGUUCUGGAAACCUUGUAAAAACAGGCAGAACUAGCAAUAAACAUAUCUCAAAGAACAAACAGCAGCCCCCAAGGAGGUGGGGGUCUAUAGUCCGUUAAUUAUGCUCGCUGUCCUCCUAACUUCUUUGCAGACCCUGAAACUGUGUAACCUCUUCCUAAACAAUCGAUAUGUCUGCUGCACAUCUGGAUGUAGAUGACCACCUUUGAUUAUUACCUUUAGUCACACCUGCCCCUCAUCUAUUGUUCCCAUGACGACAAUAGUUAGACCACCUCGUGUGAUUUUUCCCUAUAUAAGUGUACGCUGUCC
rnacentral:lncRNA from 1 species